GAUGAACGCUGGCGGCGUGCCUAAUACAUGCAAGUCGAGCGAACAGAUGAGGAGCUUGCUCCUCUGACGUUAGCGGCGGACGGGUGAGCAACACGUGGAUAACCUACCUAUAAGACUGGGAUAACUUCGGGAAACCGGAGCUAAUACCGGAUAAUAUAUUGAACCGCAUGGUUCAAUAGUGAAAGACGGUUUUGCUGUCACUUAUAGAUGGAUCCGCGCCGCAUUAGCUAGUUGGUAAGGUAACGGCUUACCAAGGCGACGAUGCGUAGCCGACCUGAGAGGGUGAUCGGCCACACUGGAACUGAGACACGGUCCAGACUCCUACGGGAGGCAGCAGUAGGGAAUCUUCCGCAAUGGGCGAAAGCCUGACGGAGCAACGCCGCGUGAGUGAUGAAGGUCUUCGGAUCGUAAAACUCUGUUAUUAGGGAAGAACAAAUGUGUAAGUAACUAUGCACGUCUUGACGGUACCUAAUCAGAAAGCCACGGCUAACUACGUG
rnacentral:rRNA from 1 species